rnacentral:rRNA from 1 species
UACGUAGGGUGCAAGCGUUAAUCGGAAUUACUGGGCGUAAAGCGGGCGCAGGCGGUUUUGUAAGUCUGUCGUGAAAGCCCCGGGCUCAACCUGGGAAUUGCGAUGGAGACUGCAAGGCUUGAAUCUGGCAGAGGGGGGUAGAAUUCCACGUGUAGCAGUGAAAUGCGUAGAGAUGUGGAGGAACACCGAUGGCGAAGGCAGCCCCCUGGGUCAAGAUUGACGCUCAUGCACGAAAGCGUGGGGAGCAAACAGG